rnacentral:tRNA from 1 species
GUUGUGGUUCAGUGGUAGAGCACUUGCCUAGCAUGCAUGAAGCACUGGGUUUGAUCCCCGGCAUCACA